GGCUUUUACUUUCCCCCGUCUACGCCCCCCUUUUCCCGAAAUCAAAUCUCAUUUCAUUUCUUCUCCCAAAUCAAACCCGUCCCCCAUUCCCAAAUCAAAAUCCCUAAAUCAAAGUAUCAAACCCUCCUUCCUUCUUCAGUCUUCUUCUGUUCUUCAUCAUUCUUUGGGUUUAUUCAUUUCCUUGUGGGUUGUUUCUCACCCAUUUUCUCUGGGUUGUACUUGUUUUAUCAUGUAAAUUCCUUUUUUUUGUUCUGUUAAUCCUUUUAGGGUUUUUUAAACUUUUUUUGUUGUUCCUUUUUUGCCAUUUUUACAGCUUUGAUUAUUCCCUUCUUCCUUUAACUUGAAUUUUUUUGUUCUAUUGACUAUAGUACUUAAGUUGUGAAUUCCAUUGAAAAACCUAUCUGGGUUUUCUUUAAAAUAUAAUUUCCAUUGCAUAUCUAUACAUAAUUUUCCUUUAUAUAUUUGAGCUCAAGUAGAAGAACCAUUUGAAAUAUUUUUUCUUCUUAAUUUUUGGUGAGUAUUUUUUUGUUGUUUUAAGCUUUUAGGGUUUGUGUUUAAAAUCAACUUUGUUAGAGCUCUUUAACAUUGAAAAGAAGUGAACUUUUGUUUUCCACCAUUAAUGGCAGGCAUUGUUGUUAUUCUGGAUUGUGUUGGAGCAGCCUACCUCCAAAGUAACCUUGAUUACUUAAAUUUUGGUGGUAGACUUUUCAUCAUAGGCUCCAUAACUGGAUUUCUCAUAGAACCAAACAUCGUAGUUAUGAUCGCAAAAAAACUUUCAAUCUAAGGUUUUAAUCAUGUUCUAAACAACAGCAGACCAGACCCUUUACUGUAUAAUAAUAUGUUGCAAGAUAAUUGAAAGUUGGAAGCUUUGAAUAUGAAUGCAUCCUUUUAGGGCAAGUCACCUUCUCUAAGCGACAAAAUGGGUUGUUGAAGAAGGCUUAUGAUGGAUGCUUGUGAGAAGAAGUAUAAAGCUCUCCUCAACGAGUACAUGGCAAAAGGAACGCCAAUUGAAUUUUAGACUAAAGGACCUGAUGAUGAGGCCUUCAGUUCGAAUGAUGAUGAAUGAGGUUUAAUGCAAAUGGAGAUCUUUUGGAGAGAAGAAAUGGACAUUUCAAUUAUGUGUUAAUUUCAAGACUUAUGUAAUGUUAGUGAUUCAAAGACUUAUGUAAUGUUUUUAAUUAUAUAGUGAUUCAAUUCGGUUAAUUCGGUUAACCGUCCGAAUUAACCGAAAAAAUUUUGGUUCGGUUAA